rnacentral:snRNA from 1 species
CUAACUUUUCACAGGUGUAGUGUGAGUCGCGCCCAACGACGACACUUCCGACUUCGACUAACAACCAAUCCAGAUCUGUUCUUUUCAGUUUGUGAGUUUCCUUGAACACGCCAGCACGUGUUGAACAUUCUGACCUUCUCCAGAAUCUCUGAAACGUGGUCACGGCCACUUCAUCGAUUAUACUUAUUUUUGGCCUUGGAUGGGUGGCCGCUGGGCUUGCCUAUGUCACUCGUCACCGUGUCGCUGGUAUAGCACUACUUCCAGCUGACGCGACCUCUU